GCCGUAUCACGCCGUAACACCGGUUCUCAUAUAAUCGCUGAAGUUAAGCAAAGUCGAGCCUAGUCAGUACUUAGAUGGGUGACCGCUUGGGAAUACCAUGUGCUGUAAU